AAAGCUUCAAAAUUCGAAACCCAAAAUUUUUAUACCAAAAACCAAAAGCACCAAACACCCGAGAUUUCGUAGCAAAUUCAACCUGGCUCUCUGAUUUUACCAUUCUCACUACAAAUCCCCAAUCACACCUCUCACUCAAAACCACUCUUACUUUGACUACUUCCACACCCCAAAUCUCGGAGACAACUGGGAUGUCUUCUUUUACCAUGGCCGAGAAUCGCGCGGCGGCCAAGAGGAGGGCGGUGGCGGCCUUGGCCGAGGAGCACCAGCUGGCCACUAAGAAGCGCGCGGUUCUCGGAGAUCUCACCAACUUGGCAGACGCCGUCGUUUUGGCCUCUGAAAACCCUAAACCCAAAUGUGAAAAACGGAGUGCUGUUAGUGCUGUGCCGGAGAGUGACAAUGAAGACCCACAGCUUUGUGGUGCUUAUGCUUCUGAUAUCUAUGCCUAUCUCCGCAGAUUGGAGGUGGAACCAAAGAGAAGGCCAUUGCCUGAUUACAUGGAGAGAAUUCAGAGGGAUGCUAUUAGUGCUACUAUGAGAGGGAUUCUUGUGGAUUGGUUGGUGGAUGUUGCCGACGAAUUUAAGUUUCUUCCAGACACUCUUUAUCUAUGUGUUUCCUAUGUUGAUAAGUAUCUGUCGAUGAAUGUGAUCGACAAGCAGAAGCUUCAGUUAUUGGGAGUUGCUUCGAUGUUCAUUGCCUCGAAGUAUGAAGAGAUUAAUCCUCCAAAUGCGGAUGAGCUUAGUGACAUGACAGAAAAUACAUACACCAAAAUGGAGGUGAUCAAGAUGGAGGCUGAUAUCCUCAAGUCUCUCAAAUUCGAAAUGGGGAAUCCUACUGUUAGGACCUUCUUAAGAAAGUUUACUGAUGCUGCUCAUGGGACAGAUAAAACUCCCAAUUUGCAGUUUGAGUUCUUGGUUUCCUACCUUGGAGAGCUAAGUUUGUUGGAUUAUAAAUGUGUGAAGUUCUUGCCUUCUCUGGUAGCUUCAUCAGUUAUUUUCCUUGCAAGAUUAAUGAGAUCAAAUGUGAACCCUUGGUGUUCAACAUUGCAACAAUGCACUGGGUACAAAGCAGCUGAUUUGAAAGAUUGUGUUCUUGUCCUUCAUGACUUGUACUUGGGUAGAGAAGGAGGAUCGUUACAAGUUGUGCGAGAGAAAUACAAACAACAUAAGUUCAAGUUCGUGGCAAAUGUUCCCUGCCCCCCAGAGCUACCAGCUCCUCUGUUUGAUAAUGUGAAUGCAUGAUAGAUGAUAUUAAUUUGGGGUUUAUGUUGAAACAAUGACAAUGACCGUUGUGGAAAAGCCUGUCUCAGUAUGUUGGGAAGAUCUGGCUAAAGGUUUACUGAGAAUAAUCUCAAUUGAAGGCUACUUUGAAGUUUGAAGGGUGUUGACAGAUGCUUAAGGGGUAUCAACUGUUCUGUACGAUCUUCAAGGGCCAUAGUAGCAGUUAAAGAAAAUGUGCGAACUCAAGUUCUUGGGGUUAUAGGAUAUAACUCCGGCGUACUCGCACAUAGAAAUUGGAUAGCCUAUGCUGCUAUGUUGCUUUCAUAGAGCUAACAAGGCAAUGAGAGUUGACAGGAUUAUUUGUCCUUUUCCAACUGAUACAACCAGUGGCUCCCCUCAGGUGGUAUUAUCGAAGAGAAAAAUCUGUCCAAAUUCAAUCCAUGACCGAACUUAGUGUGGAAUGUUAUUGUGUUUAAGCUGUUGGCAGUGGGGACUGUACUGCACAAUUAUGGCUGUGAUCGUGUACUGCCAGAUUACAUACAAGUGAGCUGAGCUAAAUUCAAAUUCACAGCCAGCUAGUUGUAUUUUCUUUGUAGGCGAGUUGCAUUAACCUUCCAUUUCUGUACAAUUAAAAGGAUGCAGUUAUGUGGUGAUCGGAAUAACUU